rnacentral:rRNA from 1 species
UACGGAGGGUGCAAGCGUUAUCUGGAUUCACUGGGUUUAAAGGGUGCGUAGGAGGGCAGGUAAGUCAGUGGUGAAAUCUUCGAGCUUAACUCGGAAACUGCCGUUGAUACUAUCUGUCUUGAAUACCGUGGAGGUGAGCGGAAUAUGUCAUGUAGCGGUGAAAUGCUUAGAUAUGACAUAGAACACCAAUUGCGAAGGCAGCUCGCUACACGAAUGUUGACUCUGAGGCACGAAAGCGUGGGGAUCAAACAGG